GACGAACGCUGGCGGCGUGCCUAAUACAUGCAAGUAUAACGCUGAAGGAGGAGCUUGCUUCUCUGGAUGAGUUGCGAACGGGUGAGUAACGCGUAGGUAACCUGCCUGGUAGCGGGGGAUAACUAUUGGAAACGAUAGCUAAUACCGCAUAAGAGUAGAUGUUGCAUGACAUUUGCUUAAAAGGUGCAAUUGCAUCACUACCAGAUGGACCUGCGUUGUAUUAGCUAGUUGGUGGGGUAACGGCUCACCAAGGCGACGAUACAUAGCCGACCUGAGAGGGUGAUCGGCCACACUGGGACUGAGACACGGCCCAGACUCCUACGGGAGGCAGCAGUAGGGAAUCUUCGGCAAUGGACGGAAGUCUGACCGAGCAACGCCGCGUGAGUGAAGAAGGUUUUCGGAUCGUAAAGCUCUGUUGUAAGAGAAGAACGAGUGUGAGAGUGGAAAGUUCACACUGUGACGGUAUCUUACCAGAAAGGGACGGCUAACUACGUG
rnacentral:rRNA from 1 species